rnacentral:rRNA from 1 species
AUUGAACGCUGGCGGUAUGCUUAACACAUGCAAGUCGAACGGUAGCAGGCCUUCGGGCGCUGACGAGUGGCGGACGGGUGAGUAACGCGUAGGAAUCUGCCUCAUAGUGGGGGACAACGUGUGGAAACGCACGCUAAUACCGCAUACGCCCUACGGGGGAAAGCGGGGGACCUUCGGGCCUCGCGCUAUGAGAUGAGCCUGCGUUAGAUUAGCUAGUUGGUAGGGUAAAGGCCUACCAAGGCGACGAUCUAUAGCUGGUCUGAGAGGACGAUCAGCCACACUGGGACUGAGACACGGCCCAGACUCCUACGGGAGGCAGCAGUGGGGAAUAUCGGACAAUGGGCGCAAGCCUGAUCCAGCAAUACCGCGUGUGUGAAGAAGGCCCUAGGGUUGUAAAGCACUUUCAAUAGGGAGGAAAACCUGUCGGUCAAUACCCGGCAGCUUGACAUUACCUAUACAAGAAGCACCGGCUAACUCCGUGCCAGCAGCCGCGGUAACAC